GAGGAAAAGAAACCAACCGGGAUUGCCUUAGUAACGGCGAGUGAAGCGGCAAAAGCUCAAAUUUGAAAUCUGGCACCUUCGGUGUCCGAGUUGUAAUUUGAAGAAGUAACUUUGGGGCUGGUCCUUGUCUAUGUUCCUUGGAACAGGACGUCAUAGAGGGUGAGAAUCCCGUGUGGCGAGGAUCCCAGUUCUUUGUAAAGUGCUUUCGACGAGUCGAGUUGUUUGGGAAUGCAGCUCUAAGUGGGUGGUAAAUUCCAUCUAAAGCUAAAUAUUGGCGAGAGACCGAUAGCGAACAAGUACAGUGAUGGAAAGAUGAAAAGAACUUUGAAAAGAGAGUGAAAAAGUACGUGAAAUUGUUGAAAGGGAAGGGCAUUUGAUCAGACAUGGUGUUUUGCGACCCUCGCUCCUUGUGGGUGGGGAUCUCGCAGCUCACUGGGCCAACAUCGGUUUUGGCGGCAGGAUAAAACUUUGGGAAUGUAACUUGUCUUCGGAGAAGUAUUAUAGCCCAAGGCAAUACUGCCAGCCGGGACCGAGGACUGCGACUUUUGUCAAGGAUGUUGGCAUAAUGGUUAUAUGCCGCCCGU
rnacentral:rRNA from 1 species